AAUUCGAUUAGAGUUUGAUCCUGGCUCAGAUUGAACGCUGGCGGCAUGCCUUACACAUGCAAGUCGAACGGCAGCACGGGAGCUUGCUCCUGGUGGCGAGUGGCGAACGGGUGAGUAAUACAUCGGAACGUACCCAGGAGUGGGGGAUAACGUAGCGAAAGUUACGCUAAUACCGCAUAUUCUGUGAGCAGGAAAGCGGGGGAUCGCAAGACCUCGCGCUCUUGGAGCGGCCGAUGUCGGAUUAGCUAGUUGGUGAGGUAAAAGCUCACCAAGGCGACGAUCCGUAGCAGGUCUGAGAGGAUGAUCUGCCACACUGGGACUGAGACACGGCCCAGACUCCUACGGGAGGCAGCAGUGGGGAAUUUUGGACAAUGGGGGCAACCCUGAUCCAGCCAUGCCGCGUGAGUGAAGAAGGCCUUCGGGUUGUAAAGCUCUUUCGGCGGGGAAGAAAUGGCAACGGCUAAUAUCCGUUGUUGAUGACGGUACCCGCAUAAGAAGCACCGGCUAACUACGUGCCAGCAGCCGCGGUAAUACGUAGGGUGCGAGCGUUAAUCGGAAUUACUGGGCGUAAAGCGUGCGCAGGCGGUUUCGUAAGACAGACGUGAAAUCCCCGGGCUCAACCUGGGAACUGCGUUUGUGACUGCGAGGCUAGAGUACGGCAGAGGGGGGUAGAAUUCCCCG
rnacentral:rRNA from 1 species